AGGGUUUGAUCCUGGCUCAGAACGAACGUUGGCGGCGUGGUUGAGGCAUGCAAGUCGCGGGAGAAUGGCGGGGCAACUCGCUUAGUAAACCGGCGAAAGGGUGAGUAACGGGUAGAUGACGUACCUUGGAGAUGGGGAUAACGGUUCGAAAGGACCGCUAAUACCCGAUAAGACCACGGGUGUGCGCAUCCGGGGUCAAAUGCGGGGGACUCUUAGGAGCCUCGCGCUCUGAGAUCGGUCUACUCCCUACCAGCUAGUUGGCGGGGUAAUGGCCCACCAAGGCGACGACGGGUACCCGGGCUAAGAGGCUGACCGGGCACAUCGGCACUGAGACACUGGCCGGACACCUACGGGUGGCUGCAGUUCGGAAUAUUGGGCAAUGGGCGAAAGCCUGACCCAGCGACGCCGCGUGGAGGAUGAAGGCCCUCUGGGUUGUAAACUUCUGUCACGGGUGAACAAAUCGGUUCGGGUUAACACCUCGGGCCGUUGAGCUUAGCCUGGGAGGAAGCCCCCGCUAAUCACGUGCCAGCAGCGGCGGUAAUACGUGAGGGGCAAACGUUGUUCGGUGUCACUGGGCUUAAAGGGUGCGUAGGCGGCUGUGCAAGUAAGGUGUGAAAGCCCUCGGCUUACCCGGGGAACUGCGCCUUAAACUGCAUGGCUUGAGGGCCACAGGGGUUGGAGGAACUCCAGGUGUAGCGGUGAAAUGCGUAGAUAUCUGGGGGAAGGCCGGUAGCGAAGGCGUCCAACUGGGUGGUACCUGACGCUGAGGCACGAAAGCGUGGGGAGCAAACAGGAUUAGAUACCCUGGUAGUCCACGCCCUAAACUAUGGAUGCUAAGCGGGGGGAGGCCAAGACUUCCCCUGCUGCAGUGAAAACGUUAAGCAUCCCGCCUGGGGAGUAUGGUCGCAAGGCUGAAACUCAAAGGAAUUGACGGGGGCUCACACAAGCGGUGGAGCAUGUUGCUCAAUUCGAUGCAACGCGAAGAACCUUACCCGGGCUCGAAGCGCACGAAUUAAUCCUGUGAAAGCAGGUGUAACUCGCAAGAGUGGAGCGUGCGUAGGUGUUGCAUGGCUGUCGUCAGCUCGUGUCGUGAGAUGUCGGGUUAAGUCCUCUAACGAGCGAAACCCCUGUUUCUAGUUGCCAACGGGUCAUGCCGGGAACUCUAGAGAGACUGCCGGUGUUAAGCCGGAGGAAGGUGGGGACGACGUCAAGUCAUCAUGGCCCUUACGUCCGGGGCUGCAAACGUGCUACAAUGGCUGGUACAGCGCGACGCAAACCCGCGAGGGGGAGCAAAUCGCUUAAAACCAGCCUCAGUUCAGAUUGGGAGGCUGCAACCCGCCCCCAUGAAGCUGGAAUCGCUAGUAAUCGGGGAUCAGCUAUGCCCCGGUGAAUACGUUCCUGAGCCUUGUACACACCGCCCGUCAAGCCACGAAAGCCGGGAGUACCUGAAGUCCCCCUCAAAAGGGCCCACGGUAAAACCGGUGAUUGGGACUAAGUCGUAACAAGGUAGCCGUAGGGGAACCUGCGGCUG
rnacentral:rRNA from 1 species